GCCGGGCGGACACGACACCAGCGCGCCCACGAGGUCUGCGGUGCCGGACAAGAGCCCUGCCCUUGGAGCCAUUCGGCGGCUCGCUCGUCGUCGUUGCCUGUCGCGCGCGCCCACGCAUAACGUAUGGGCAUCCACGAGGAGCCGACGCCCCAGGCCUGGCGGUCGCGAGCAAUCGACAGCAGCGCAGCCCACAUGUCGCAGUAUUUGGCGAGAUCGACGCCGACGGGCGCAUGUGAUGCACACAGGUCGAGCGUCCACACGAGCCGUUCGAGCGUGUCGCCGUCGAUAUAGUACGAGUUGUAAAAGUCGGUGCUAUGAGAACAGGCGUAGGCGAUCAACGACUUGAGGACCGUCGGACCUGCGGCGGCGAUCUGCCGCGGCCACUUUGACGUGAUCCACAGCGCGCACGUCACGUCCCUGUGGGCGGCUCUAUCGAGCAGGGACACGAUCUCGGCGUCGUCGGCGGGCACGUAGCCGGCGCCCUGCGGAUCAAAGACCCAGUCGAGAAAGGCCGCGGGAUCUUUCGACCACCGACAGCCCUCGUCGUCGUACCAGGGCGAUGCGGCCAUCCAGGCCACCUCGCGCAGCGUACGCGGCAGGCCCAGGUUGGCCAUGCACCAGCGUGUGGUUUCGAUGGACCCGUAGCGACAGGCUCGCUUGGCCACAGCGCGCCCUAGAUCGCCCGUGAGGCUGGAGCGUCCGAGCGCCAGGAUGGACGCAUGGCCUCCGGCCGACGCGCUGAUCAGGCACUCUUUGGCACCCCCCGACGUCCACGUCCGCGCCAACCGCACAGCCAACGAUACCACGGUGGUGGCGGCGACGACGUGGUCGUCAUCAGACGCACCACCAGCGUCUCUAUUAGAGACAAUGUCAUUGGCGUCGUCGUAUUGGUCAUCGUCGUCGUCGCCAAGAAAUAGGUCAAUGUCGUCUUGCGAUGGGACCUGGUGACCACGCGAGUGGGGGUCUCGGUCCAUGGCGUCGUCAUUGCGAUUGCCGUCGUCCAUGUGGGCGGGGUCGACCACGACGCCCUGUGUCUCGCAAACAUCGUCGGGGGCACCAAUGAGGCCGUCUGCAGUGGCAGCAAUCUCCAAGAGCCGCGCGAGGAUGCGCGCCCUGCCGUCGCCGCCCAAGGACGACCACAGCCAUUUUAGGGAUUCGUCGCAUGGGUUCCACGCCGCCCAAAUGCGCAGCACGAAUUCAAACACGUCGGCAUGGUCACCCUCGGCAAAUUGGCCAAUGUCGCUCACGCGCGACCAGUCGAUGGGUCCCACCAACGAGAGGACCAACAUGGUCGUGGCCAUGUCGGUCCUGUUGGCGGCAACCGACAGGAGUUCUAGUCGCCGGCUGUCGGUCGGGCUGCGAGGGCCUCGGGUUGCGAUUGUCGGAUCGGGUUGCUGGUCGCUGCGAGGGACAAGUGUUUCGAUGGCGUAGCGCACCAACAGCGGCCGUGCCGAAGCCACGAGCGUCUUGACGACGGCGUCGUGCGACGCCCCGUGGCAGGCCAUGCACCAAGAUGCGAGGGCGUCGGGUCGAUGGUCCCAGAGGUCAGGCCUAGUGUGGACCCACUCGGCCACGGUCGAGGCCAGCACGAUCGCGCCGCGUCGCCAACGGCAGGCCAGCCCAUGAUAGCCGUCUUUGCCCACGAUCCGCACGAUCUUUGUCCAGUGCACGUCGUGGACGCGGAAAGACAGCGCACGGUCUUGGUGUUUGUCGCGCGGUCGGUCCUUGCUCUCGUCGCCCGCCGCGUCUAGGAUGGCCUUCCAUAGGCGACACACUGGUCGGGCGCAAAAGCGCCACCGCGCUGGCAGGCACUCGGUUAGAAUGAUGGUUGUGAUCUCAUCGGGCAGCACAUCAAAGGCGCCGAGUGCAGGCGUGUCGUGGUCGCCCAUGGUCGAAACAAGAUUGCUGCUCCCUCCCUGUGAUUCUUUUUUCUCUAUUUGUCCCCUCCUCUUUGGUUGCGUGUUGUUUUUUUGCACAGGCCACUAGAGCCCGCGAGACGGCGUGGAGAAGAAAAAAAG
rnacentral:lncRNA from 1 species